rnacentral:rRNA from 1 species
GACGAACGCUGGCGGCGUGCUUAACACAUGCAAGUCGAGCGGUAAGGCCCUUUCGGGGGUACGACGAGCGGCGAACGGGUGAGUAACACGUGGGUGACCUGCCCUUAGCUCUGGGAUAAGCCUGGGAAACUGGGUCUAAUACCGGAUAUGACUCCAUAACGCAUGUUGUGGGGUGGAAAGCCUUGUGCGGCUAGGGAUGGGCCCGCGGCCUAUCAGCUUGUUGGUGGGGUGAUGGCCACCAAGGCGACGACGGGUAGCCGGCCUGAGAGGGCGACCGGCCACACUGGGACUGAGACACGGCCCAGACUCCUACGGGAGGCAGCAGUGGGGAAUCUUGCGCAAUGGGCGAAAGCCUGACGCAGCGACGCCGCGUGGGGGA